AUGAGAAAACCAGAGGAAAAGAGGAAUUAUAUCAGAUUUAUAAUCUUUGAUGGCGACUUGAAAUGGAAACGGAAAUUUCACAGGGUUGCAUCUGGAAACUCUGGAGUGGUUCAAAAGUUGGGACAUGAUGGUUUCACUAGUGGAAUGCAAAGGGUGAUUGUUUACAGAUCGAUGUUGGUUUUGGUUAAGGGGAGAGUUAAAGUCAGUAGUGUGUUGCAGUAG